GACGAGGGGUCCUAGCGUUGUUCGGAAUCAUUGGGCGUAAAGCGUGUGUAGGCGGCCACGUAAGUCAGUUGUGAAAGCCCCGGGCUCAACCCGGGAAGUGCUUCUGAUACUGCAUGGCUUGAGUACUGGAGAGGAUAGUGGAAUUCCAGGUGUAGUGGUGAGAUACGUAGAUAUCUGGAGGAACACCGGUGGCGAAGGCGGCUAUCUGGCCAUGUACUGACGCUGACGACACGAAAGCG
rnacentral:rRNA from 1 species